AGAUUGAACGCUGGCGGCAGGCCUAACACAUGCAAGUCGAGCGGUAGAGAGGUGCUUGCAUCUCUUGAGAGCGGCGGACGGGUGAGUAAUGCCUAGGAAUCUGCCUAGUGGUGGGGGAUAACGUUCGGAAACGGACGCUAAUACCGCAUACGUCCUACGGGAGAAAGCGGGGGACCUUCGGGCCUCGCGCCAUUAGAUGAGCCUAGGUCGGAUUAGCUAGUUGGUGAGGUAAUGGCUCACCAAGGCGACGAUCCGUAACUGGUCUGAGAGGAUGAUCAGUCACACUGGAACUGAGACACGGUCCAGACUCCUACGGGAGCAGGCAGGUGGGGAAUAUUGGACAAUGGGACGAAAGCCUGAUCCAGCCAUCGCCGCGUGUGUAGAAGAAGGUCUUCGGAAUUUAGAAA
rnacentral:rRNA from 1 species